AAUUCCUACUCAAGACUCAGAUAGACCAAAAAAAAGUGAAAAAAAAAAAUAAGCGAAAGAUCAAGCUCAUUUAUAUUUUAUGCGCCUGUUGGUAUUCUUUUUUGACUAUGUGGACCUAUAUAAAAGAGCUAUCUUAGCGUAUGCAUUCUGAAGGUAUUUUAUAUACCAACUAACAACUUCGUGUUUCACUGGAGUAAACCUUAAGAGGCUGUCAAUACCUAAAGCGCGCACACUGUCUAUUUGUAUCGGAGUAAAUGAGAUAGCACUGUCGCAUGUUACUGGGCCUGGGCAAGGGAAUAAUAAGAAAAAUAUUUAAAUAAAAAAAACGGCCAAGUGCGAGUCGGACUCGCGCAUGAAGGGUUCCGUACAAUUUAAGACGUAUUAAAAAAAAAUCUUCUUACUAGAUCUUGUUCAACAUUUUACCACUUUGGACACACAUUUUACCACUUUGGAAGUGUCUCUCGCGCAAACUAUUCAGUUUAGAAAAAAAUGAUAUUAGGAACCUAACUAUCAUUUUUGAAGACCUAUCCAUACAUACCUUACACAUAUAUGUUUGAUGAAAAAAAAUUUUUUUUAAUUUUAUGACUUAUUAAAAAAAAACUACUCACUAGAUCUCGUUCAAAACAAUUUUCGGUAAAAGUUUGCAUGGUAAUGUAUAUCAUAUAUUUUUUUUAGAUUUUUCAUUCUGUUAUUUUAGAAGUUACAGGGGGGGGGACACACUUUUUUUCACUUUGGAAGGUUCUCUCGCGCAAACUAUUCAGUUUAGAAAAAAAUGAUAUUAGAAAAAUUAAUAUCAUUUUUGAAGACCUAUCCAUAGAUACCCCACACGUAUGGGUAUGAUGAAAAAAAUUUUUUUUUUUAAUUUCAUGACGUAUUAAAAAAAAACUACUUACUAGAUCUCGUUCAAACCAAUUUUCGGUGGAAGUUUACAUAGCAAUGUAUAUCAUAUAUUUUUUUUAGAUUUUUCAUUCUGUUAGUUUAGAAGUUACGGGGGGGGGACACACUUUUUUUCACUUUGAAAGGUUCUCUCGCGCAAACUAUUCAGUUUAGAAAAAAAUGAUAUUAGAAACAUUAAUAUCAUUUUUGAAGACCUAUCCAUAGAUACCCCACACGUAUGGGUAUGAUGAAAAAAUUUUUUUUUUUUAAUUUCAUGACGUAUUAAAAAAAAACUACUUACUAGAUCUCGUUCAAACCAAUUUUCGGUGGAAGUUUACAUGGCAAU